GGUUCUGGAGCCAGGAAGGGUCCUGAGACACACCUAGCACUUCACAUUCACUAAGUCAUGCGUGAUCAUCAAAUCAUUUGAUUAAUUCCCUUACUCUUACAGGACCUGCCUCCCAGGGGAAUACGGUAGUGCUGAGAAGAGGGUGUGGACGGACUAAGGGCUGAAGGUGUCCUGGAGACGGGGUGGCGAUGGUGAGUGUGCUUGCUGAGCCCAGGAGACGGACCGCAGCACCGGGCACUCGGGUGGGGUCCAGAGGAGAGGAGCCUCCUGCAGGGACAGCAAAGCUGACGAGAGGACAACAUAAAGCCACUUCUGUCUUUACCUCGCAUUGCCUUUGCACCACGUCCAUUUGGGUGCGGUGCAAAGCUUCUCCCGUUUUAUUCCUAAGUCUGAAACUGCCUAGCGGGAGGAGGGAGAGGAGUGUUCUUUCAUUGUCUAAGGGCCUCCCGUGUGCCGUAUGCUGGGAACUUCUCCUUUCUCAUUUUAUUUCCUUCACGCAACAACCUUGUAAGACGGUAAUUCUCAUCCCUGUAUUACAGAUGGGGCUCGGAGCUCAGUGUGGGGGCAGCUUGCGCAGCAGCCCCCUCCACCCUCUCGCCCCAGGUCACCACUCAGAGGUGCAGCUGAGAUUCCAGCCAAGGCCUGCAGAGCAGAAGCCUGUGCUCUCUGAGGCGUGGUCUCCCACGCGGCCAGCUGGAGGGCUCCUCCGGAAGGGUUUCCAGGGAGGCCAUGAGGGCUGUCUAGAUUGAUAGCGAGUUCCCCACAUCCUGUAACCCCUCCCUGCCAGGCCUGUGCCCGCCGCUCUGGCUGCAGGCAGGGAGCGAGGCUGGGCGCUAAUUUACACUUGUUUAACUACAGCUGCCGCCCUCCCGCCAUGUGUCUGUCCGCCAUUUAUUGCGCUUUCCAAAGCCCUGCCCGGCACUCAGGGGCAUUUCCUGCCUGCGCUAAUGGAGGAGAAUAGACGCAUUAUAUGUGAAUAAUGGAUUAUGAUGAUACAAUUUGGGUCUCUUAGCUCUCACCGAGCCUAGGCUGGCCUUGCAUUAUUGAUAACUUACACACACCUUCCCGAGCGUGUUUAUGUAAAUAUUUAAUAGGGAAAGCAAGUUAACCCAUUGGUUUCAGCCAUUUCCAGAGCACUAGAAGUAAGGGCCAUGAGGGGUGACUUGGGGGGCCCCCAGCAGGAGUUAGUUCUCUUUGGAAAAGCCGGGAAGUUGCCAAGAUGCUCACUUGGCCACAAGGAGUGUAUGGCCUUGAGGUUUGGGGUUUUCCAAGAGCUGAAACAAAAGGGUAGGGCUACCUCACUGUGGGAGAUCACCUCCGGUCAAGAAGACGAGUUGCCCAACACAGGCAGAGCAGGGUGAGGAUGUUGGGAUGAGGGGUGCAGAUUACUGGAAUGCAGCUGUGGUGGAUGUCACCACUGAACAAAUCGAACCAUUGCUUCCUAUCUUACAUGGCCGAUUUCCUGUGCUUCCCCAUGGCUUCCGCAUUUCACACUCCAUUGCAUGUUGGAAGGCAAUGCUUUAGAGACUGCCUGGGUUUCACCCUGGGCUCCACCACAUGCCCACUGGACGGCAAGUUAGUUAAUCUCUCUGUGCACUGGUUGUCACAUCUGUAAAAUGGGGAACUAAUUUAUUUGUCUCAUAGGUACCCAUUGUUGGUGCAAGAAUGCAGUGAGAUAAUAUAUCUGAAGUCCUUUUACAGUGCUAGGCAAUACUACCUAUUACCAUAUAAGCCACAACUGGAAAGAUGCACAUGCUUUCACAUGGGUCUUUAUGCCAUGGCACACAUUAGCGGGCAGUGUUUCUGAGUGGUGUAGAAAAUAGUUGUGCAUCCCAGACACAAUGAAAUAUGGUUAUUUUGCUAAUAUCCUGUUUCUGGCAAUUAAACUACUGUGUAUCCUUUGGGAAAUCACGAGGGUGGGCAUGUGCCCCAUCUGCUUAUGCAGAGGGUGGAGGACCAGGCAGAAUCAGGAGAUCUGAGCUGGCCUCCCUCUGCACCCCACCCCAGGCACCUGCCUCCUCUCCAGCUUAUCUCCCCCUUCCCCUUCCCAGGUUGCCAUUGACAACCUGCCAUUCUCAGAGCACGCCUCUGAGCUGCCGAGCCUUCGCACCUGCUGGCUCCUCCACCUGAAUGCCCUUCUCUCUAUCCUCUUCCUGGAAACCCCAGCUGCCUCAGGAUAUGGUUCAGUCAUCACCUCCUUCAUCCAACCUUCUCUACCUCUUUGUCUUAACAUUGAAAUGGCCAGCGUGUUCUUCUACCUGCCUGCCAGACAUGCAGGCCCAAGGUACCAGGAGGCAGAUGCUGACAGAUGCAUCUCAGUAUGCCCGGCACCUCCACCACACAAGGGCUGUGCUGGUUGCUGUGGGAAUGCUGCAGGGCACAAAACGGAUAAUGCUGGAGGGAGAAGACAGCAAACACAAGGCUCAAGAAACUCCAGUAUGUAAGAAGAGGACAUGCACAAUGGAAGAGGGAAGCCGCCAUGCAGAGUGUCGGGGUGCACUUUUAAAUGGGACAGUCAAGGUAAGCCUCACUGCAAAGGUGACCUCUGAGCAGAGGUCUGAGGGAGGUGAGGAAUGAGAAGAGUGAACAGCCAGUAUGAAGAUCCAAGGUGGGAGUGUGCCCCUGGUGUGUUCAAGGAAAGGACCAAGGUAGGUGUGGCUGGCACAGAGUAAGAGAGGGAGGUCUUAGCAAGCGGGGAGGUUCAGGUAGUACAGGGCCUUGUGGCCUUGGCAAAGACUUUGCCUCUUGGAGGAUUAUAAGCAGGUGUGACUGGGUCUAGUGUUUGUGUUUUAAAGGGAUCAUCCUGGCAGCUAUGUAGAGCAUUACUAUAGGGGUCAAGUACCGCAGCAGGGACAGCAAUUAGUAGGCUACUGCAAGAGUCCAGGUAAGAUGUGAUGGUGCCUUAUGCUAGGGUGGUGGGAGUGGGGGAGGUGGUGGGGGAUGGCCAGGUGCUGAGGUUCUAACAGAGGUGGAAGGUGGAGCUGUCCGGGUUUCCUGAUGGUUUAGGUAUUUGAAGUGAAAGAAAGAGCAGAAUCAAGGACGACUCCAAGGUGUCACCAGAAGGAUGGAGCCAUCAUUAACCAAGUGGGGAAGACUGUAGGGGCGGUGGGGAACAGGUUUGCAGAGGGGAAGAUGAGGAAUUCCAUUUGAGACGCAUUAUUAGACAUAUUAGAUCUGAUAUAUCUAUUAAACAUCCAAGGGGAGAGUUUGAAUGGGCAACUGCUUGUAGGAGUCUGGAGUUCUGGGAAGAGGGUCGAGGCUAGCAUUAGAAAUGUGGAAGCCAUCAGCAUACAGAUGGAUGAGCUCACAAGGGAGAGAGUGUAAGGAAGAAAGACAUGGAGGCCUGAGCCCAGGGCGCUGCAAGGAGUAAGGUGGGGAGGGAGGAGAACCAGCAAAGGAUGCAGGAAGAAGUGCCCAUGGUGAAGGAGGAAUACCCACUUGUUGAAACUUCAGUGCGUUGGCGCUGUAAUAAACAAUUAUAAUAAAAUA